rnacentral:lncRNA from 1 species
AUUAAUGGGAAAUUUGACUUUCGGGUUGAGCCUGUGUGUGUCGGAGAUUUAUAGAAAAUUUCUUGGGAUUUUUCUACAUCAAAAUUGGACCUCAAUUUGGAGAGAUUGGAAUUGAAAUUUAGUUCGCACUUAGUUAAAAUCGAAUCUUGAGAUGGGGGCGUGCAUCAUUGGUAUCAAUUUGGAUUUUGGUGGAUUCUUGAAU